rnacentral:rRNA from 1 species
CAGUCGCCACGGUAAUACGGAGGGAGCUAGCGUUGUUCGGAAUUACUGGGCGUAAAGCGCACGUAGGCGGUUAUUCAAGUCAGAGGUGAAAGCCCGGGGCUCAACCCCGGAACUGCCUUUGAAACUAGAUGACUAGAAUCUUGGAGAGGUCAGUGGAAUUCCGAGUGUAGAGGUGAAAUUCGUAGAUAUUCGGAAGAACACCAGUGGCGAAGGCGACUGACUGGACAAGUAUUGACGCUGAGGUGCGAAAGCGCGAGGAGCAAACAGGAUUAGAUACCCGUGUAGUCCCUGUCUCUUAUAC